CUCACAUCCUCUGCAGGCGGCCAUAAUGGACUCUCAUCACACUCGUAUUGAAACACGAUCAACGCAUAUCAGCCGCUGACGGCUCAGACGGCCCCAAACCAGACUAACGCCUCAGAGACAAAGGGAAACGUUUGGUCCUCGUUUGAUUGAUCGGGGGAUUAUCCAAAAUCUACUGAGGGUGGAGUACGAGCCAAUGAAGAACCCAUUGACUUUAGACCUGCCACCAAGACACCUCUGGACACGGAAUCGAAUCAUCCUCCUCCUGUGAUGAGUCCUGGGACGAUGGCUCUCGGUCAGUUGUUGGCAAGUCUAGAACCACCGGAUCCUUCCAGUCCACCAGAGUGAGUUCUACCAUUGCCAAACACUGUGGGAGAGUCAAUGCCACCAGAUCUGUGUGAUGACUGAGGAUCAGGUUACAUGGGACAGCGUCUCAGAGAUAGAGCACAAGCGGGGGGCCUCCAUCGCAACCGUUGAUAUCUGAGAUGCACGGCACAAUCGAUCGGAUCCAUCGUUCAUCCUUCCCUCCCUCUCCAGUCUGGUUGUUUCUCUCACACAGAAAAAUAU